CAUUUGAUAACCGAGCACCUCCUUCUUUACAGCUGAUUUCACAUGUGAAAACAUGAAUUAAUUGUUGAAAAUAAACAAAAUGAAAUCAAGUUGUAGAAAAUUGAGAAACAUCAAUUUCCUUCGAUUUUUAGUAAGAAUCCAGUAUUGCCUAAAACAAAAUAAUUAGAAUAAAGCCUCAGCAUAACAUUUUCAAAACAAAUCUUAAAUGACAAGUUGUUAAUAGUAGAUAAAAAAGUAAUUAUAGUUGUGAACCCAAAUAAAAAUCAAUAAAACUUUGUUGUGAAAUAUUAUGCCCAUAACACUGCUCAAAUAAUUAUACCUAACAAGUAACAAUAUAUGAUAAAUUCUCUAAAGGUUAUAAGAUAAGUUGGAUUGCAAAAGUAUGGUAAUUAUAAUAAAGGUCUACAAUUGCUUAAUGCUUACCUGCCAUAAAGAAGAGGAUGAAAGUAACGUAGGCAAAGAAGAAAACAUAUUUAGUAGUAUUACCCAUGUUUUUUUCUGGCUUGUCUUCCGAAAAGAUGACAACUAGGGUGUAUAUAACAUUAGUGCAUAGCACAAUUUUAUGAAACACCCAGUUGCUAUUUUGCAUCCAAAACCUCAAAAACUGCCCAACAUCCGAGUAUGGGUUCUUAAAAAUUUUUACAACCUGUGAACAGUGGGUUCGUAUAUAUAGAACCUACUGUUCACUUGGUUGUAAAAAUUUUUACACUCACUCUCCUCAUAACAUGGUAUAGACCACUCUCCUCUUCUCACUCAUUCUCUUUGGUCACUCGUCUCACUCUCUCUCCCAAUUGCAGAAGCUCCAUUGCCCAUGCCGCUCCAAUCACUCUCUUUCCCUCUACCUUUUUUUUCCUCUUCAUUGUAUUGCUCUAUCCCUAAACUAAAGAUUCAAGGGUUUUUGGUUUAAUUUUGGGUUUCAUUUGGAAUUUUUGGGUUUCUUGGUGGAGCGCGCUUCCUCUCGUUUCUGGGUUUGUAGUUUCUCGGUGGCUGGAUUGGUGAUGGAACAAGUUGGUGUUUUUUUUCCUCUUCACUGUAUUGCUCUAUCCCCACACUGAAGAUUCAAGGGUUUGUUGGUUGGUUUAAUUUUGGGUUUCGUUUGGAAUUUUUGGGUUUCUUUGUGGAGCGUGCAUUUGGUCGUUUUUGGGUUUAUGGUUUCUCGGUGGCUAGAUCGGUGAUGGUUGUUGUUGGUGUUUGUUUGAAUCGGUGGCUAGAUUGGUAAAGGUUGCUGUUGGUGUUUGUUUGAAUCGGUGGCUGUGUUUGUUUGUUUGAAUCGGUGACUAUCUGUUUGUUUAAAUCGGUGCUGAAUCGGUGGCCGUUUGAAUCGGUGAAGAAUCUGUGGGUUCUUUCUCUAACCGUUUGUUAUACGCCUCAAAUGAAUUUUGAGUAGCUCCAUCUAUUAUUUUCUUCUUCCUCUCUUUUCAAUAGUUUUCUUUUCAAUAACUCUAUAAUUAGCAAGCUUGUUUUCUUUUCAAUAGCUCUGUAAUUAGCUAGCUUGGAUAUUUAUGGACCUGUUUUCUUCCUAAGCUUGUUUCUACACCCCUUGUAAGUUGGAAUCCCCUUGAUGAUCUAUAGGGAUACUAAUCAUGCAGUUAGGACAAAUCAUUGCAUAUGUAAAGAAAAUUAAAAGUUUCUGCAUAAUAUCAACUUUAUGUUUGUCAUAUAGUAUAGGGUCCAAUUGAAGAUGUAAUCACAGUGUUUACGUCAAAUUUUUGGGUUCAAUUUUGGGAAUAGGUACUAAUUUUUUUACAUUACCUAUUUUAAAGGGGAUGAAUUCACAACAUAACAUAUCCCUAUAUGCUAAUAUCUUACAAUCUGAUUCCAACUUUGAGGCAUAAUUUUUGGAAAAAUAUCAAAAUCCCCCAAUGUCUAUUGAAGAUUCUCCCCCAGAACUUGAAAUUAUCACCCCCAAAACAGCAACACGAGGUGGCAACUUUAGUGUGGAGGAAGAUAUCCUCCUUGUCUCGGCGUGGCUUUAACACUAAUGUGGAUCCCGUGCGUGGUAAUGAGCAAAAGCAAGAAUCAAAGUGGUAUGACUGACAAAAACAAGCUUGAUCAAGCAAAGGCUUUGAAUAAAGCUACAUCACCCAACAAUACAUGUUUCCAAUUUGAACAUUGUUGGCUUUUGUUGAAGCACCAACCAAAGUGGAGUAUGCCUAAGGAAAGAUCAAAAGGGUUACCUCAAACUUCGAGUUCAAUACCUGAAGUUGGGGGGGGGGGGGGGUGGUAACACAAUGGAGUUUGAGAGACCGAUUGGUAGAAAAGUCAAAAAGGCUAAUUGAAAGAGAAAGGAUGGUGAUAAAGAUUUUGGGGAAUUUUUGGCAAAGAAAUUGCACUACAUUGAAGAAGUAUAUGAACAAGAAAAAGAGGCUCUUCGAAUCAAUGUGGAAAGGGUUCGAGUAGACGAACAAAGAAUUGGUUUUGAAAAGGAAAGGGUUCGAGUAGAUGAAGAAAGAAUUAGUUUUGAAAAGGAAAGGCUUGGGAUUCAAAUGCUUAAAGGGAAUGAAAGAAUUGGGAUUGAAAAGGAAAGGCUUCGUAUUGAAAUGGAAAAGGAGGACAAAAAAUAAUGAUAAUGUAUACAAGUGGCAUGACCGAAAUUCAAAGAAUUUUUUUGAAAAACGCCAAGAGGAAAUCAUUGCAAGACUAACUGGUGGUAAAUAGUUGAGUUUGACAUGUAGAUGAUGUCUUGUGCUUGUUUUUUGUACUAGCUUAUUUAGGCCUAGUUUUGGUACAUAUUGAUGAAGUCUUUGUUCCAACCAAAUUUUUGUAUUAACUUAUUUUAGGCCUAGGUUUUGGCACAUGUAAAUGAUGUUUUAUUCCAACCUCAUUUUUGGUACUAGCUUUUUUUUGUAUUUUGUUAUGUACCAAAAAAGGUCUGGACUCUUAUGUGAUUCCUUGGUAUUUUCUAUUAUACCAUUUAUGUAAUCAGAACAUUUUUUUUGUUAUAUGAAAUGUUUAUGUAUUUUUUAUGAUUGA